CAGGAACAGCUACAGGUGAGUAAGCACAUAGUCGGCUUACAGACGUUUCACCUCAUGCUGCUAUUUCAUAACUACUUUCUCCUGAGAUUCCUUGAAGAGAAAUAAAGACAGUUUCAUUUAAGUUCAGGACGGCUUAAAAGGAAGCGCCUGAAGUCCCACAUUGUGACACAACUCUACAGCACAUUCUUCUUUUAAUCUGAUGUAUAAACAAGAUGUAUUUGCUUCAAGCUGCAUUCAUCCUGUCAUUAUACUCUUUUUGCUCUUCUGAUAUUAUGCAGCCGUCUGAAUUGGAAACAUUGGAAGGAGAAGAUUUUUCGCUCAGAUGUGACCAUCCAUCUUUCACUAGUGCUCAUGUCAUCCAGUGGUACAAAUUAUUACCAGGGAAGGGACGAGUACGCCUCAUCAGUGACUUUCAGAGCACUAAGUUAUUGGACAAGUAUACAGUAACCUUCAGCAACAAGAAGAAAUACAGCUUCCUCAAUAUAAAAAAUGUUAAACCUGAAGAGAGCGCAGUGUAUCUUUGUGCUCAGACUAGCACAGAGAUAUAAAUGUAUUUCCUGCCCAUACAGUAUGUCAGU